UUCUCUGGACAUCCCUUUACGAAAAAGAUCUGUAACACAGGAGCUCCAGGUUGUCCAGAAAUUGAACAUCUUUAUUUCGAUUUAAUUCGAAUUUUUGGUUCCCAUAUAUUCUAAAUCCACAUGGAAUUGUCGGCUGUUGAAGGUGGUAUUUGGGGUGAAGAGUAUAAUCAAAAGAGAAAACACAAAAAAUGGGUAAAAAUUGACUUAGAGUCGUUUAAAUUUACACUGGUGCUCACGGGGGAGAACCCUUUUGCACAAGACGCACCCCUGGUUAUAUAGUCUCACAAGGGUGCACACGUGUUCCUUUAUGUACACACGCAUUCGGAGCACCCGCCUCACCAAACCCACUCAUCUAAUUGUGUACAGCGAACAAGUUUGAAAACACCAUAAAAUCACUCGCAAAUUGAAUUCCAGUUCCAUGAACAAAUGAGGACUUUCCUUUUUUUCAUACGUUUUCCUCCAUCCACGCAAAGGUUUUCCGCCAAGAAAUGGCUUUUGGUGCUCUGAAGUGAAAAAUCAAUCGGUAGCGCAAUUUUGCAGCUUUUCAUCGCAUCAUCACUUCGACAGGGGACUCACCUGGAAACUUACUUAUAUAUAUAAUACCCAAUUACUGUCAGCUACUGCCAUGACACCUGGGAAUCAAAUUCCAUUCAAUAAUUUACCCCUUAUUCAUAGCACCAAUUAAAUGUUUAGCUGUGCCACAUUAAAGUCCUCAUAUGUUUGCCUUUGCGUGAAAGCUCGUUUUAUAAUGUAUGGAGAGGGAGAAGCAAAUGUUAUAAAAGUUAUGGCAGAGUUUGUGAAACUUUCAAUCUUCAAGUAAUACAGCAUUUCCAUUUCAAUUUUCUAAAAGAAGUUUUCCAGGAAAAUUUUAUUGCAAAAAUUAAUGUAUUGAGCAUUGCAAGGUAAUACUUUUAGAUAUUUCACAUUUUUUUUUCAUUAUUAAUGUUCAACAAACAGAUUUUAUAUUAUUAGAGUUUAAAAGAAAAAUUACAAAAAUGCAAAUUAUGAAAGAAUACUUUUUUACAGGGGAGAAAGUCUUAAAUGUGCAUAAUAUUUUGAAAAGUACUGUAAUGUUAAGGAAUCAAUAGUUUAUUAUUGUUGUAAUAUAAAUUUUGUACGUUUAAUUUUGUUGGUAUUAACAAAAUAAAUUGCUUAAAGCUUGUGAUA